rnacentral:rRNA from 1 species
UGGUCUGCAACUCGACCACACGAAGCUGGAAUCGCUAGUAAUCGCGAAUCAGCAUGUCGCGGUGAAUACGUUCCCGGGUCUUGUACACACCGCCCGUCACACCAUGGGAGUCAGCAACGCCCGAAGUCAGUGACCUAACCGAAAGGAAGGAGCUGCCGAAGGCGGGCAGGUAACUGGGGUGAAGUCGUAACAAGGUAUC